AUUGAACGCUAGCGGCAUGCCUUACACAUGCAAGUCGAACGGCAGCGGGGGAGAAGCUUGCUUUUCCUGCCGGCGAGUGGCGAACGGGCGAGUAAUACAUCGGAACGUGCCCUGUAGUGGGGGAUAACUAGUCGAAAGAUUAGCUAAUACCGCAUACGACCUGAGGGUGAAAGUGGGGGACCGCAAGGCCUCAUGCUAUAGGAGCGGCCGAUGUCUGAUUAGCUAGUUGGUGGGGUAAAGGCCUACCAAGGCGACGAUCAGUAGCUGGUCUGAGAGGACGAUCAGCCACACUGGGACUGAGACACGGCCCAGACUCCUACGGGAGGCAGCAGUGGGGAAUUUUGGACAAUGGGCGAAAGCCUGAUCCAGCAAUGCCGCGUGUGUGAAGAAGGCCUUCGGGUUGUAAAGCACUUUUGUCCGGAAAGAAAUGGCUCUGGUUAAUACCUGGGGUCGAUGACGGUACCGGAAGAAUAAGGACCGGCUAACUACGUGCCAGCCGCCGCAGUAA
rnacentral:rRNA from 1 species